CUGAUCUCUUUCAAUAACAACAAGCAUCCCCAGGGCUUUUGACUCUGGGUCACCAAGCAGCCAACCUGGACUGCCAGGACAGACCUAUGGAGGGAUAACAACUAACGAGGAAGACUUCAGCCAGAAAUUGCCAGACACUUAAUCAAAUACAGUAUCGUUCUUCGAUUUUACUGUUUACGUCCAUUCCGCUUAUAAUUGAUGAAUGGGAGGAGAUUACUAUUUUCAUGCCGAGUGAUAUUCCGAAUCUAAACCAGCAGUCAACUGCCGCCAAACGACGCGGGCUUUGUGCCUCUGCGGCACCCCGCGGGUGUCCUUCCGCGACAGCCUGCCUUUCCGAGAAUCCGUGUUCU